rnacentral:rRNA from 1 species
GAUGAACGCUGGCGGCGUGCCUAAUACAUGCAAGUCGAACGAACUUCCGUUAAUUGAUUAUGACGUACUUGUACUGAUUGAGAUUUUAACACGAAGUGAGUGGCGAACGGGUGAGUAACACGUGGGUAACCUGCCCAGAAGUAGGGGAUAACACCUGGAAACAGAUGCUAAUACCGUAUAACAGAGAAAACCGCAUGGUUUUCUUUUAAAAGAUGGCUCUGCUAUCACUUCUGGAUGGACCCGCGGCGUAUUAGCUAGUUGGUGAGGUAAAGGCUCACCAAGGCAGUGAUACGUAGCCGACCUGAGAGGGUAAUCGGCCACAUUGGGACUGAGACACGGCCCAGACUCCUACGGGAGGCAGCAGUAGGGAAUCUUCCACAAUGGACGCAAGUCUGAUGGAGCAACGCCGCGUGAGUGAAGAAGGGUUUCGGCUCGUAAAGCUCUGUUGUUAAAGAAGAACGUGGGUAAGAGUAACUGUUUACCCAGUGACGGUAUUUAACCAGAAAGCCACGGCUAACUACGUGCCAGCAGCCGCGGUAAUACGUAGGUGGCAAGCGUUAUCCGGAUUUAUUGGGCGUAAAGCGAGCGCAGGCGGUCUUUUAAGUCUAAUGUGAAAGCCUUCGGCUCACCGAAAGAAGUGCAUUGGAAACUGGGAGACUUGAGUGCAGAAGAGGACAGUGGAACUCCAUGUGUAGCGGUGAAAUGCGUAGAUAUAUGGAAGAACACCAGUGGCGAAGGCGGCUGUCUGGUCUGCAACUGACGCUGAGGCUCGAAAGCAUGGGUAGCGAACAGGAUUAGAUACCCUGGUAGUCCAUGCCGUAAACGAUGAUUACUAAGUGUUGGAGGGUUUCCGCCCUUCAGUGCUGCAGCUAACGCAUUAAGUAAUCCGCCUGGGGAGUACGACCGCAAGGUUGAAACUCAAAAGAAUUGACGGGGGCCCGCACAAGCGGUGGAGCAUGUGGUUUAAUUCGAAGCUACGCGAAGAACCUUACCAGGUCUUGACAUCUUCUGACAGUCUAAGAGAUUAGAGGUUCCCUUCGGGGACAGAAUGACAGGUGGUGCAUGGUUGUCGUCAGCUCGUGUCGUGAGAUGUUGGGUUAAGUCCCGCAACGAGCGCAACCCUUAUUACUAGUUGCCAGCAUUAAGUUGGGCACUCUAGUGAGACUGCCGGUGACAAACCGGAGGAAGGUGGGGACGACGUCAAAUCAUCAUGCCCCUUAUGACCUGGGCUACACACGUGCUACAAUGGAUGGUACAACGAGUCGCGAGACCGCGAGGUUAAGCUAAUCUCUUAAAACCAUUCUCAGUUCGGACUGUAGGCUGCAACUCGCCUACACGAAGUCGGAAUCGCUAGUAAUCGCGGAUCAGCAUGCCGCGGUGAAUACGUUCCCGGGCCU